UACGUAGGGGGCAAGCGUUGUCCGGAAUCAUUGGGCGUAAAGAGCGCGUAGGCGGUCUGGUAAGUCCGCUCUGAAAGUCCGGGGCUCAACCCCGGGAGGCGGGCGGAUACUGUCGGGCUAGAGUCCGGAAGAGGCGAGUGGAAUUCCUGGUGUAGCGGUGAAAUGCGCAGAUAUCAGGAGGAACACCAAUGGCGAAGGCAGCUCGCUGGGACGGUACUGACGCUGAGACGCGAAAGCGUGGGGAGCAAACAGG
rnacentral:rRNA from 1 species